CCUACGGGAGGCAGCAGUGGGGGAUAUUGCACAAUGGGGGGAACCCUGAUGCAGCGACGCCGCGUGAGUGAAGGAGUACUUCGGUAUGUAAAGCUCUAUCGGCAGGGAAGAAAAUGACGGGUACUGGCCAAGAAGCCCCGGCUAACUACGUGCCAGCAGCCGGGGGAAUACGUAGGGGGCAAGCGUUUUCCGGAUUUACUGGGUGUAAAGGGAGCGUAGACGGCUAUGCAAGCCUGAAGUGAAAGCCCAAGGCCAAACCAUGGGACUGCUUUGGAAACUGUAAAACUGGAGUGCAGGAGAGGUAGGCGGAAUUCCUAGUGUAGCGGUGAAAUGCGUAGAUAUUAGGAGGAACACCAGUGGCGAAGGCGGCUUACUGGACUGUGACUGACGUUGAGGCUCGAAGGCGUGGGGAGCGAACAGGAUUAGAUACCCUAGUAGUC
rnacentral:rRNA from 1 species